UACGUAGGGUGCGAGCGUUAAUCGGAAUUACUGGGCGUAAAGCGUGCGCAGGCGGUUUUGUAAGCCAGAUGUGAAAGCCCCGGGUUUAACCUGGGAAUGGCAUUUGGGACUGCAAGGCUGGAGUUUGGCAGAGGAGACUGGAAUUCCUGGUGUAGCAGUGAAAUGCGUAGAUAUCAGGGGGAAUACCGAUGGCGAAGGCAGGUCUCUGGGCUAUAACUGACGCUCAUGCACGAAAGCGUGGGGAGCAAACAGG
rnacentral:rRNA from 1 species